CUAACAGUCACUUACCUGGAGAGAGUCAGCAGUGAACAUGCUGUGCUGCUUUCCAAGGCCUCCAGGCCACAGCCUCAGGACCCCCACAGGGAAAGCACUUGAGAAUGAGUGAGAGGGCUGGCAGGAGGAGAAGGCCACUGACCAGUGAUGAUCCACAGAAGCGACUUUGAGAGCAAUCUAUGCUCUACAGAUCCCACCAUAAUGCACCCAGCUACUGGAGUGGUGGUGUUCCACAGCCUUCCCAGACUUUGCCACACUGACCAGACCCCAGUCACUUCACAAGCUGCUUGGAGCUGCACUCUUUCUCCUACUGGUCCACAGUUUUAUAAGACAGGUCCAAUGGAAUCAGGAUCUGUAUCUGUUUGACAAAAUAAUGAGAACAGUUGUAAAAACAAACAAGGUAGAUUUAACAUUUUUGCUGAAAUGAAGACUUCAGGUAUUAUUUAGGGGAAAUACUGCCUUUAAAAACAAAGUACUGUAAAUUAUAUUCUAAUUACUUUAAAAAUGGAAAACAAUUCUGGGAGACACAGCUCUGCUAACACAUUAUGUGAUUCCUCUCCCAAUCAAGUGCCUUGCUCUCUGUCCAAUUCUGUACCCAAUGCCAUCCACAUACAGUUCUGCAGUGACUUCUCUCUGCCUCUCACCUUGGCCAAGCUCCACCCCAACUUUCAGACCCAGCUGAAGUGCCACUCACACACAAGUCCUCCUCAAAUGUAUUAUAUGCAUCAUAUUAUUUUUGUGAAAUAAAAUUUUUUCAAAUUUAUUUUUUCAUUUCAUUCAUC